ACAUGAUAUAUAGAUAUAUAAAAUGGAUGAUACAUGUAUAUGGAAUUUGAUUAAUUGUUGAGCUCAUCUAUGAUUAUUGGUUCAUAUAUGUAUUUACAUGGCUAAUAUGGUUGGUGUAUAUAUGCUUAGGCAUUUGCCCAAAAUGUGUUGGGAUAUGCCUUGUACUUACCUAUUACUUGAUUAAAAGUGAAUUAGAAGCUCAUUUGGGUUGGAAGAUUGUCGAAGCUCUAUCACACUAUCCAUCGGCUCUUUUAGUAUAUUUCGGAUGUUUAAUUUUGGUUAUAAUGGCAUGUAUAGGUAGUUUUGGCUAAUGUUGGCCUAUAUGUUUUGUUGUAAAUAUGACCAUUUGAUUUAGCUUAUGUUGGCAUAUUUUGGGAUGUACAAAAGUAGCAUUAAUAUGGUUGAUGUGUUGCUUAUUUUGUGUUUGAAUUAUGGAAGUUGAGAUUAUGGUUUGAAUAUGCAUAUUGUAUAAGUUUUGUAA